ACAACUUGAUAGAGAAACUUAAAAAAUACGUGAACAUAUCUGAAGUGAAUAUCGGAAAUCAGCCUGAGGAGACAGUAAAAGAAGAUAUAACAACAGGGCAAUUAUUGGCCGCAGAGGAUAUCAGUUUAGAUAUCACAAUUAAAAAAGAACAAGUAGAAGAAUUACUAGAACAGGAGAUCAGCAGUGGCAAACCUGCAAUGGGAAAAGCUCCAAUGCAGUUUUCCUGGUUUUGCAAUGUCCAAGGAUACAAUUGGAGGAACUUCUUUUGUUUUAAAAAACAUGAUAAACAAGUAAAGAAUGUGCGCAAGCAGGAAGAAACUGACCUAAAGGUAAAUUUUCAUUAUGUGAAAUUUGUCAUAAAGAUUUAUGUGCGUAUCUCCAUUUUAAUUACUAGGGAAUGAGCUUUUAAAAUAAUCUC